AUACGGAGGACGCGAGCGUUAUUCGGAUUCAUUGGGUUUAAAGGGUGCGCAGGCGGCCGUGCAAGUCAGCGGUGAAAGCCCGGGGCUCAACCCCGGAAGUGCCGUUGAUACUGCAUGGCUGGAAUGCGGUCGAGGCGGGCGGGACGGGGCGUGGAGCGGGGAAAAGCGUAGAUAUGCCACAGAACGCCGAUAGCGGAGGCAGCUCGCCAGGCCUGCAUUGACGCUCGGGCACGAAAGCGUGGGGAUCGAACAGGAUUAGAUACCCUGGUAGUCCACACUGCAAACGAUGAAUGCUAGGUGUAAGAGGUAUCGACCCCUUUUGUGCCGGAGUCAACACAAUAAGCAUUCCGCCUGGGGAGUACGGCCGCAAGGUUGAAACUUAAAGGAAUUGACGGGG
rnacentral:rRNA from 1 species